rnacentral:rRNA from 1 species
AACGUAGGAGACAAACGUUAUCCGGAGUUACUGGGUGUAAAGGGCGCGUAGGCGGCCUUCUAAGUCAGACGUGAAAUCCCCCGGCUUAACCUGGGAACUGCGUCUGAUACUGGAGGGCUUGAGUGCGGGAGAGGGAUGUGGAAUUCCAGGUGUAGCGGUGAAAUGCGUAGAUAUCUGGAGGAACACCGGUGGCGAAGGCGGCAUCCUGGACCGACACUGACGCUGAGGCGCGAAAGCUAGGGUAGCAAACGGG